rnacentral:rRNA from 1 species
ACUCAAAGGAAUAGACGGGGGCCCGCACAAGCAGCGGAGCAUGUGGUUUAAUUCGAAGCAACGCGAAGAACCUUACCAGGACUUGACAUCCCUCUGACCGGUAUAGAGAUAUACCUUUUCUUCGGAACAGAGGAGACAGGUGGUGCAUGGUUGUCGUCAGCUCGUGUCGUGAGAUGUUGGGUUAAGUCCCGCAACGAGCGCAACCCCUAUCUUUAGUUACCAGCACGUAAUGGUGGGGACUUUAGAGAGACUGCCGGGGAUAACUCGGAGGAAGGUGGGGAUGACGUCAAAUCAUCAUGCCCCUUAUGUCCUGGGCUACACACGUGCUACAAUGGCCUGAAACAAAGGGAAGCGAAGCCGCAAGGUGAAGCAAACCCCAUAAACCAGGUCUCAGUUCGGAUUGUGGGCUGCAACUCGCCCACAUGAAGUCGGAGUUGCUAGUAAUCGCGAAUCAGCAUGUCGCGGUGAAUGCGUUCCCGGGCCUUGCACACACCGCCCGU